rnacentral:pre_miRNA from 1 species
ACCAAGUGAUACUCAUUAUCUACCUGAGCUAGAAUACAAGUAGUUGGUGUCUUCAGCUCAGGUAGAUAUUGAAUAAAAAA